GUCUACGGCCACGCCACCCUGAACAAGCCCGAUCCUGUCUGAUCUCGGAAGCUCAGCAGGGUCGGGCCUGGUUAGUACUUGGAUGGGAGACCACCUAGGAGGACCAGGUGCUGUAGGUG
rnacentral:rRNA from 1 species